UACGGAGGGUGCGAGCGUUGUCCGGAAUCACUGGGCGUAAAGGGCGCGUAGGUGGCGCAGGAAGUCAACGGUGAAAGUUCGGGGCUCAACCCUGAAUCGGCCGUCGAUACUCCUGGGCUCGAGCACUGUAGAGGCAGAUGGAAUUCCGGGUGUAGCGGUGGAAUGCGUAGAGAUCCGGAAGAACACCGGUGGCGAAGGCGGUCUGC
rnacentral:rRNA from 1 species